rnacentral:rRNA from 1 species
GUGUCAGCAGCCGCGGUAAUACGUAGGGUGCAGGCGUUAAUCGGAAUUACUGGGCGUAAAGCGUGCGCAGGCGGCUCCUUAAGUCAGAUGUGAAAUCCCCGGGCUUAACCUGGGAACUGCGUUUGAAACUGGGGAGCUCGAGUGUGGAAGAGGGGGGUGGAAUUCCAGGUGUAGCAGUGAAAUGCGUAGAGAUCUGGAGGAACACCGAUGGCGAAGGCAGCCCCCUGGGCUAACACUGACGCUCAUGCACGAAAGCGUGGGGAGCAAACAGGAUUAGAUACCCUUGUAGUCC